rnacentral:rRNA from 1 species
UACGUAGGGUGCGAGCGUUGUCCGGAAUUAUUGGGCGUAAAGGGCUCGUAGGCGGUCUGUCACGUCAGGAGUGAAAACUCGGGGCUCAACCCCGAGCCUGCUUCUGAUACGGGCAGACUGGAGGUAUGCAGGGGAGAACGGAAUUCCUGGUGUAGCGGUGAAAUGCGCAGAUAUCAGGAGGAACACCGGUGGCGAAGGCGGUUCUCUGGGCAUUACCUGACGCUGAGGAGCGAAAGUGUGGGGAGCAAACAGG